ensembl:lncRNA
UCAUAAGUAAUGUUCACAUGGUAGAGAUAAGUGAUAACCUUUUUUUAUAGACUUCACCAAAGUCUUACUAAUGACUUGUUAGAUUUCUAGGUAAGAUCAGUAAUCAUUAAGGUUGCAUAAGGGAAAUUUUUCUCACCUUAUCUUCCAUUCACUUGCAUGUAUGACAUUAUUAUCUUCUGUCCUUUACGUUGUUCCUUUGGCUUUGCUGUUAGUCCAAAAAAUGAUUAAACUUCUUGACAGCUAGAGAUGUCCCUUUAAAAAAUCCAUUCACUGCCAGACAGUUUUUUUCUAGACACUAAAAGAUGAUAAGUCUUUUAGAUGUGUGCAUUUUUCUAUUCAUUAAUUUAUUUUUCUUAGAUUUCUAGGUAUGCAAGAAGGAAUAAUAAUAGUAAAAAAAAUAUAUUGUUGAUCCCUCUUUCUAGUUUGAAACACUAGGCUAAACUUUGUAUUCCAUAUGUUCAGUUAUAUUAGGUUUUCAAAGGAGACUUCGAGAUAGCAGCAUAUUUUCCUUCUUGUUGUUCAUAACAGCAAAUGAACAUGAUAAUAUUACAAGGGUCGUCUCACAUAUAUUUUGAAAUGUUAAGGAGAAAUUAACUUCUAACUGUUGGAGUUUUUCCAGUGAUUUCUAAAUACACAUAGAGAAGCAGUCUGUGUCAUGAAGUGCUUCUAGUGAUUUUGAUGGUAGAAGAGCCAUGGUAGAGAAAUGUUGAACUUAGAAAAUCAGGUUGUUUAGCCUGCCUGUUGAUCUGGAGAAACAGUUCAUGCCUGCCUUGCAAAUGAAGAUUUGGGAGGAAAAAGUAUCCUUGAGACUGCUUUGCCUGGUGAGCCCUCAAUUACUGUCUAAUGGUGGCAGAGAGUCAUUUUUCUUAGUGCAAAUGAGUGCUACCUGCUUUUAAUCUUGGACAUUACAAUCCCUUUUUCAGAUUAAGUGAAAUGUUAGAGGGAGAGGAAAUCCCAUCAGGAGCAUCAAUACAGCAUUACUUUAAGUUGUAAUGAUGGCAGUUGCAGAGCUGAACAAAUG